UACAGGGGGAGCAAGCGUUGUUCGGAUUUACUGGGCGUAAAGGGCGCGUAGGCGGCCACUGCAAGUCAGUUGUGAAAUCUCCGGGCUUAACCCGGAAAGGUCAACUGAUACUGCAGGGCUAGAGUGCAGAAGGGGCAACUGGAAUUCUCGGUGUAGCGGUGAAAUGCGUAGAUAUCGAGAGGAACACCUGCGGCGAAGGCGGGUUGCUGGGCUGACACUGACGCUGAGGCGCGAAAGCCAGGGGAGCGAACGGG
rnacentral:rRNA from 1 species